rnacentral:rRNA from 1 species
ACUGAACGCUGGCGGCAGGCUUAACACAUGCAAGUCGAGCGGGGGAAGGUAGCUUGCUACCGGACCUAGCGGCGGACGGGUGAGUAAUGCUUAGGAAUCUGCCUAUUAGUGGGGGACAACAUCUCGAAAGGGAUGCUAAUACCGCAUACGUCCUACGGGAGAAAGCAGGGGAUCUUCGGACCUUGCGCUAAUAGAUGAGCCUGAGUCGGAUUAGCUAGCUGGUGGGGUAAAGGCCUACCAAGGCGACGAUCUGUAGCGGGUCUGAGAGGAUGAUCCGCCACACUGGGACUGAGACACGGCCCAGACUCCUACGGGAGGCAGCAGUGGGGAAUAUUGGACAAUGGGGGGAACCCUGAUCCAGCCAUGCCGCGUGUGUGAAGAAGGCCUUAUGGUUGUAAAGCACUUUAAGCGAGGAGGAGGCUACUUUAGUUAAUACCUAGAGAUAGUGGACGUUACUCGCAGAAUAAGCACCGGCUAACUCUGUGCCAGCAGCCGCAGUAA